AAUUGCUAUGGAUCGAGCACAGAUUUUGCUGGUAGGAUUACCUCUAUUUCUCUUAUGCACUGACCUUAUCCACCUCUUCACUCCCCCACCUCCUAAACCCCCUCCCCAUCACCACCACCACCCUCACCCCCACCACCAUCACAAACAACCACCAGUGGGUGCCCAUGAAACCCUAGGAUCUCCAACGCAGGUGAAGUAUCACGUUAACGUUUUUAUCCUUAGUUAACUCUCAAAAUAAUUAAAAUACUGAUUAAUUUUCCGAGGUGUGUGUCUCUAUUGCAGAAGCCAGUUGUUGGAGGGAUUGGUCUUGGCAGCACUGUCAGAAUUGACUUUUGCGCUUCCUGCUCUUACAGGUAUCUUUGAUUCCUUGAUUCCCCCUCGUAGUCUAAAAUUCUUACGGGUUUUUUUUAAUGUUUACGUGAUUACAAAAUCCCAUUUGUAAUUUGAUCAAUUGAUAAAGUAAUAUGACCAGCUGAAUGGGUUUUUCCCUGUCACGUGAGAAUCUGAAAAGAACCCUUGAUUUUCAUGGUUUUUGUUAGUGGUUAUUGGUGAUUCAUGUCGAAAUUUGGUGAACUCUGCAUAUGCUCUUGUAAUCUCAUUAGGUGUAAUUUAGGUUUGGGUUUUGAUGGGAUUGAUUUGGUUUGAGCUGCUAUUGAUGCUCGGAUUACUAUUCUGUGUUGCUCUCUGCAGAGGGAAUGCGGUAACAAUGAAAAAGAUGUUGGAAACGCAGUUUCCAGGAAUUGAUGUUGUACUUGUAAAUUAUCCCCCAUCCCUGCCGAAGCGGGUGGCAGCCAAAUUAGUACCGGUUUUUCAAAUAGGAGUAAUGGGAAUUGUGUUGGGUGGUGAACAGAUUUUUCCGAUGCUGGGACUCAUGACUCCACCUCCUUGGUAUUAUUCUCUACGUGCCAAUAAAUUUGGGACCAUUGCAUCCACUUGGCUUCUAGGCAAUGCAUUGCGGUCCUUCCUGCAAUCCUCUGGGGCGUUUGAAGUUUAUUGCAAUGAUGAAUUGGUUAGUGGCCUAUCACUUGAGCAUGAAUUGAAUUUUUGUUGGCUCAAAUGCAUUUAUUUUUUGCCAGUGGAGUAUCUGAAAGGAUCUGCUAGUUCAUUUUGAGGAUCUGGUAAUGUAAGAGAGAUUGUAUGCACUGGCUACUCUUCUCACUAAUAGGAUCGUGUGUGCUCUGCUAAUCAAUGUUUACAAUUGAAACAUGGGUUGGAUGGUCUAGACUCUAUACCAUGUAACCAGAUACAUUUAUAACCAAGUAGAUCCCAUUAAUUUCCCAGAGCCACCGAUGCCAGUUGGAGUCGGUAUUUAAAUUUACAGUUGUGCUGAGCAUUUGAGAAUCUUUGUUCAACUGUUUUAUUUAGUUGCUUGAUAAAUUUGAACCUUGAUUUCAAUUUUGUUAAGAGAAAUAGAUUUAAGUUCCCCUUCUUAAUCUUAUUUUCUCUCUUGUGAAUUGCAGGUUUUCUCCAAAUUGAGGGAGGAGAGAUUUCCAGGAGAGAUUGAACUAAAAGAUCUUGUUGGCAGAAGGUUGGCUAAUUCUGGCAUUUCUGAUAUGCUGCCCUAGUUCUCUGCCACCUGUGUGGGGGGGCUGAAUUUGAAACAAGUGGUUAUGGUGGCUGUACGCCUGAUGGUAUACUGUUUGGAAGGCAGGCUAUGAUGCAUGCAAAUAUGAACUGUAUCUAUCUUUCAAAGAAUAUAAACCAUGUUAAUGCCUUG
rnacentral:lncRNA from 1 species